AUCCAAAGCUGACACUAGGCUGCAGCUGAGGCAGCAUUCAUUCUGUGCUGUCUUCAGGAAAGCAAGAGAUGCUGCCAACCCCAGUGGGUGUACAAAGGGUAUCUGGGAGAGGGUGCUUUGGGACAAGCCUGUACAACCUGCCAGGUACUCUGAAGCUCCCAUGGCAAGCCUGGUAACCUGUUGGCUGCACAGGGAAUCAGAUCAGCAGACUGAUGCAGGUUUAAGGCAGCAAAAGGAAAAGAUAUCCAUGGGACAGUGGCCCUAAGAACUAGCUGGACAAGGGGAAGAGACCAGAAUAAAAGGUGGAGGAGGAAGUGACAGUACAGUUCCUACUUAAGGACUUCUGCAUUGUGGACACAUAUCUACAAUUGUGAAGCGUGCACACACUGCUGAGGACCAACUCAGCCAUGUUCAAGUAAGUGCUGAAAAAAAAAAAGCUCAGAUAACUUUCAGUUUUGAAUAAUAACAGAACUAGAGGGAUCUCCAACUCCUGCAUGACAGCAUCUUUGCAAAGCUUGCUGGCACUAAGCAAACAUCUGUCCUGUUCCAGAGCUCUAGCAGGUAGCCCUGAGAAACAGCAAUGGACAGGGUCAGCAUCCAGCAGGAAAGGCAGCUAAAACUGAGCAAAGAUGAGCUGGGCAGGGAACUUACGCUGCAGCCAUGUUAAUGUAUUUUCCAAUCCCCUGCCGGUAAGUUUUAGGAGCCUGGACCUCCUUCUUCAGUGGGACCACCUCAGCUUUUGUUUUGGCUGCUUCUUCUUCCAGCUGAACCUUCUCUCUUUCUGCAGCAACCUGUGGGAAGCAGAGUGCAGUCUGUUACAACAGCUCGUCCAGAGUGAGGAGACCAUGACUGUAGUUCUUUGAAACUCUACAGCACUCUAAGACAGCAAUCAGCACUGCUGCAAUUACAGGGUUGGCUUUAGGAAACGGACCUCAAGUGCCACUACAAACCUGCUGUCUGCAGCCAUUACAACAAAACUUCUCUUUCUCAACUCCACCCAUAGCAGGCAUUUGGGAAGGAAGCUAUUGUUAAGAGUGAGGAGGGGAGCCGUGCCAGCCUGAGCUCCAAAGACCUCUCAGCUGAAACAGCAGCGGUGCUCCCUGCACACAAUGCAAUGUAAGGAGCAGCUGUUCCCCCUUACCUUGUGCCCCUCUGGGCCAGGGCCUCCCACAUGUAGGGGGAGGUGCAAAGAAGAGGCACAGGAGAAGUAUAUGGUCUCCACAAGGGAUCAACUGGGGCAAAAACUGAAGUCACUGAGCUACAAAGUUCUCAGAAGAAGAGCUUUGGCCUAUCAGAUGAGAGAACACCACCCUCACCUGCGCAUCUGCCUCCUCAUACGGGUCAACAAAAACGGUUGUUGCCUGGAUUCGUAUUUCCUCCUGUGAGCAGAAGAGGAGAACAUUGACUCUGGUUAAAUCUGCCCCACGCUCUCCUUUGGGGAAGCAGCAGCAGCAGAGUGACCACACCAUGCAGGGCCAGAGAUGCUCGCUAUCCCCGCACAGCUCCUGGCACUUCCCACUCACCUUGGGACGGUCCGUCUUCGGGUCACUUUCCACAUUCUCCAUAGCAGUCAGAGUCUCAAAGCCACCAACCACUCUGAGAGAGAAAGACAACUUCCAGCUGUCACAGCAUCACCAAAACAUUCCCACACUCCCACAUCCAACACCGUCUCUGCCCACCCACUGUACCAGAUUCUUCUACCACUGUGUUUGGGGGAAGGGCAAUCAGCAACUGUAACUGGAAGACUUAAGAUAAUGUCAUGCAGGACAGAAGCGAUGAACCUGGGGGGGCUUUGGAAAAGCAGCAGAGCAUCACAUCGUGGACCCCUCAUCACGGGCUGUAUUUAAGAGGAUCCCUGGCCACUCAUUUUUCAAGACAACGUAUCCAAAUAUUUGCUUUGAAGCAUUAAAAAAAGGCUGAAGACUUCUGGACUGUUGGUGCUUUUUUCCUACUCCCUCCUCACCCAAAAAAGAAGCAUGGAACAAUGGGAAAAUUCCAGAAAAGGAUAUUUUAAAAGGAUAAAUGGGGUGAUCCAGAUAAUUUUAAGCCUGUCCUCCUGGCAUCUAUCCCAGCAAAAUAACGGAAUAGUGGAGACAGGACAUGAUUAAGAAAGGAAAUAAGUAACGGCAAUCAACAAGGUUUUGUUGAAAACAGUCUGCCAGACAGCCUUCUACCUCUGAGCCACCAGAUGUGGUUAGAGGGGAUACCAGCGGCAGUGGAACGGCCUUCUGGAAGCUGCUGAUAUUUUGAUGGGGAAACCAGAACGAUGCAAACACAGCACGCGUUACAUCAAAAAUCCAGCUGGCAGGUGUGAAAAUCUGCCUUCAAAUAGGAGCCACUGAGCCGGUUUGUUUCCAAGGGAUCCUGCUGGGAUCACCUCUUGGUCCCAAGAUAUUUAUCGGUUUUAUCCACAUCAUCAUCCCCAAUUAAAUGUGAAAAUGGCUAUACUUAGAACAGCAGCAAAUAAAGCCCACUGAUGCCGGGGGAAUCCAGAGCCCUUAGGAAGGCAGGCUGUAGCUGGACAACAUCUGUGUUAACACAGCCAGGCCACAUGGCCAGCAACCAAAACCACAGCCCCUAUGAAUGUCUGUGGGACAAGGAGGAGCAGCCCUAAUUCUGCACAGUGCUCCUCCCGGAGCCAGAGCAGCUCAGGAGCUGUGCAGUGAGAGGGCAGGGCCUGCUGCCCAGGGAGCCCAGUGCUGCAUCUCACUGCACCACCUGGGUAACACUGCACUAAAGAUGACCAACAUAAAGACCCGGCUGCAGAAAGCACUGCUGAGUUCCAGAGGCUGCUGCUAAGCACCUGCCUGAACAGAGGUCCCUGCAAACACUUUGCUGUUGUUUGAGCAUUCCAGUCCUCCCUAUUCCCCAAAGGUGUGUCAAUAUUCUGUAAUCAGGCCGUGACUUCUAAGAGCAAUUAAAAAAACAUGUAUGCAGGCCAGAACAGAUGCAUCCAUUUGCAGCCGGAGAUAUCGCACUGCGGAACCUCCUGAGAGCAGAGGGGGUUUGACAACCCUGCAUUGGCUUCAGCAACUUCGUAAUAAAAACUCAAUUUCAAAACCCUC